AUCACAACACCUCAACCGGUGUGUCCGUCGUCUACGGGGAACUCUGCUGUCCGACUGCUGUUUUACCGGUUGGGUCGCCGCCGUCGCAGCAUGUCGUUCAUGCUAGCCGACGGCGCUGCCGUCAACAAGUGGCAGCACGGCUUCAAGUGGAGACCGGUCGACCGCCGGUCUACCGUCAACGUUGCAACAACUCGGACGCCACGUAUCGUCGCCAGUCGAUAGGCAAGAUUCUGACUUAGAGGCGUUCAGUGAUUAUCUUUCAGAUGCUAGCUUCGCGCCACUGGCCUUUCAGCCAAGCGCAUGAACCAAAUGUCUGAUCCUGCGGUUCCUCUCGUACUGAGCAGGAUUACUAUAGCAACGAUCAGCGAUCAGUAGGGUAAAACUAACCUGUCUCACGACGGUCUAAACCCAGCUCACGUUCCCUAUUGGUGGGUGAACAAUCCAACGCUUGGCGAAUUCUGCUUCGCAAUGAUAGGAAGACCCGACAUCGAAGGAUCAAAAAGCAACGUCGCUAUGGGCGCUUGGCUGCCACAAGCCAGUUAUCCCUGUGGUAACUUUUCUGACACCUCUUACAUGAAAUCCGCAAAAUCAAAAGGAUCGAUAGGCCACGCUUUCGCGGUCUCUAUUCGUACUGGAAAUCAAAAUCAAGUGAGCUGGGUUUAGACCGUCGUGAGACAGGUUAGUUUUACCCUACUGAUCACUGAUCGUUGCUAUAGUAAUCCUGCUCAGUACGAGAGGAACCGCAGGAUCAGACAUUUGGUUCAUGCGCUUGGCUGAAAGGCCAGUGGCGCGAAGCUACCAUCUGAAAGAUAAUGACUGAACGCCUCUAAGUCAGAAUCUUGCCUAUCGACUGGCGACGAUACGUUGCGUCCGAGUUGUUGCAAGGUUGACGGUAGACCGGCGGUCGCCUUGCGCGGUCGACCGGUCUCCACUUGAAGCCGUGCUGCCACUUGUUGACGGCAGCGCCGUCGGCUAGCAUGAACGACAUGCUGCGACGGCGGCGAAACCACUAAUCACCCAACCGGUGAAACAGCAGUCGGACAGCAGAGUUUCCCGUAGACGACGGACACACCGGUUGACGUGUUGUGAUCACUAGAGCAGUCCCAACACUGCGAUUUGUUGAGACUUUGCCUUUCAUUGGACUGCUCGU
rnacentral:ncRNA from 1 species